AUGACCUUGGGCAAGGCCCAAGUCAUCGGGCUCUGGAAUGUGGGAUCUCUUGAUGGAAAAGAAAUGUGGAGACAAAGUGAACUCAUCAUUGUGAGCCAUGCCUCGCAGAUGAGGAAUUCCAGAGCCUGGACCUUGGCCGCUGCCACAGAGUCCUUGGGGAGCUGUUGGAGAGAGAGCAGCAAAAAAGGUGGAGACUCAGACUGGAGGGAAGAGGAAGCUGUGAACUGCCUUUGACUGAAAGAGAUUCUUUUGAACUCUGGGUAUCCUGUUUAUUUUUUUCACUCUUGGAUUCAUUUCCCUUUCCUUGGAAUAUUGGAGAAUGUUUUCAUCAUCUGCAAACACUGACCAAGAUUAGGCACGUUUGUGCUGGAAAGGGCACUGUUUUGUCUGCGAUCAGAGCACGGAUUCCCACUCCGUCAUGAUGCUGUGACUGUCAGCACGUCUUCACCUUCUAGCUCCACCUCCUUACCUAUAAAAUGGGAUUAAGAAAUUAUUAUCCGCGUCAAGGCUGGGACUGCAGCCAUGGUCCUCAAAGUUUGCAUCUAGUGGUACACCUCUCAGCACUUUCCCACUAACCCCAAUCAAAUAAGAACAAAUCCAGACUAAGAUAUGGAGAGAUUUUAUUUGAAAAGGCUAUUGCAAUGGGGAGAACAUUCUGAACAGAAGAUCUGCAAGAGUCUCAAAAGUUUCUGCAGACUGGUGCAGUCAGGAAAGGCUGUUCUGUAUUCUGACCUGAGGGUCAGAGUCCAGAGGCUAUAGGUAGGAGAGAAGCCUGACUAAAGUUUGGUUGAGUCACAUUAGUAAUUUUUUCAUCCAGAUCGGUUGGUGGGGACAGACAAUUCAGCUAAUCAUCUGAUGAGACAAGGAAGGGGAAGUUGGAGAGUCUGUGUCUGCUCUUGUCUUAGGCAAACAGACGGGCAUCCAUGGGUCAUAUCUAAGUCACAUAAACUGUGGUUCUUUGCAGAAAGCCAUUUUGAAGCACAAAAGUGUAGGGGGAUUUCUUGACUACUGUUUCCUAGGAACAUAGGGCUCAGGUAAAUUUCAACAUUAUCAUCUGCUGAUGGAUGAGUGGAUAACCAACACAUGAUUAAUAGAAUCAUUUAAUAGAAUAUUUAGGACAUUGUGCUAAGUAAAAUAAGCCAGUGGCAAAAAGAUAAAUACUGUAUGAGUCCACUUACAUGAGGUAUCUAGACUAGUCAAAAUCAUAGAAAUGGAAAGUAGCACAAUGGUUACCAGAGGGAAGAGAGGAAGAGUGGGAAGUUGUUUUCAAAUGGGUAUAAAGAUUCAAGAAUGCAAGACAAAAAAAGUUGUGGAGACUGGUUGUACAACAGUGGGUAUGCACUUAAUAAAACUGAACUGUACUCCUAAAGAUGAAUAAGAUGGUAUAUGUAAUGAUGUGUGCCUUUUACUAGAA
rnacentral:lncRNA from 1 species